GGAAUUACUGGGCGUAAAGCGUGCGCAGGCGGUUCGGAAAGAAAGAUGUGAAAUCCCAGAGCUUAACUUUGGAACUGCAUUUUUAACUACCGGGCUAGAGUGUGUCAGAGGGAGGUGGAAUUCCGCGUGUAGCAGUGAAAUGCGUAGAUAUGCGGAGGAACACCGAUGGCGAAGGCAGCCUCCUGGGAUAACACUGACGCUCAUGCACGAAAGCGUGGGGAGCAAACAGGAUUAGAUACCCUGGUAGUCCACGCCCUAAACGAUGUCAACUAGCUGUUGGGGCCUUCGGGCCUUGGUAGCGCAGCUAACGCGUGAAGUUGACCGCCUGGGGAGUACGGUCGCAAGAUUAAAACUCAAAGGAAUUGACGGGGACCCGCACAAGCGGUGGAUGAUGUGGAUUAAUUCGAUGCAACGCGAAAAACCUUACCUACCCUUGACAUGUC
rnacentral:rRNA from 1 species